rnacentral:misc_RNA from 1 species
AACGUAGGAGGCAAGCGUUAUCCGGAGUUACUGGGCGUAAAGCGCAUGUAGGCGGUUGGGCAAGUGGCGUGUGAAAGCUCCCGGCUAAACUGGGAGAGGACAGGUCAGACUGCUUGACUAGAGGGUGGUAGAGGGGCGUGGAAUUCCGGGUGUAGCGGUGAAAUGUGUAGAGAUCCGGAGGAACACCAGUGGCGCAAGCGACGCCCUGGGCCACUACUGACGCUGAGAUGCGAAAGCGUGGGGAGCGAACGGG